ACCCGCUAAAUAAAUUAUGCUCGGUGCCUUCCAAUUAUUAAAAAAAAAAAAAAAAAAAAAAAUCGUUUGUUGCCUCUAGUUUAUUUAGUAUAUAAAAAAAUUUUGGGAAAGAGAAAACCUAGGAUAAAUUUUGGUUUUCUUAGCAUCUGACUGUUCUUCAAUUUGGGUUCACCUUCUUCCACGAUUCUUCAACCAUUCUGCUAUUUCUUCAAUGAUUCUUCAAUGAAAGGGUGAGAGAAAGCUUUGCUAAAGGGAUGAUAAGGCUCAAGGAGUGUAGCAACGAAUUGAAGUAAGGAUGAAUACGAUUUGAAGCAAGGCUCAAGGGAGUGCAACGACGCUUGGCUCAAGGGACGACAAAGCUCGAGGGAGUGGCUGAUCUGAUUCUUCCUGGCUGAGGGACUGCGUGACGAAUUGAAGCAGGGCUCAAGGGAGUGCAACGACGCGGGGCUGACAUGUUGCACAGUGUCGAGGGAUCGACCUUCCGAUGGCAGGAAGGUUAGUGAGGCAUCAGGGAUUGCAAGCCCUAAAGUUAAACCUUCGGUGGGUUGGUGGCAUGAAAGGCUUGUGGACUUUUAGACAAUUGCAGGAAAUGUUAAACCUUUGGGAGGGAACGCUACUUAAAGGAACUGGUAAGAUUUUUUUUUCUUUUCAUAUGGAGACCAAGUAAGAAUUGGUGAAACUAACAAAAGGUGAGUACUUUUAGACAAUUGCAGGAAAUGCUUAAUCUUCGGGAGGGAACGCUACUUGAAGGAACUGUUAAGAUUUUCUUUUUUUCAUAUGGAGCCCAAGUAAGAAUUGGUGAAACUAACAAAAGGUGAGUAUGGAAUAUACUUUUAAUUGCAAACUUAUUUUUGUGUUCUAUUAAUACUGUUUAAUUUUAGCAUUUUCAUUUCUGUUACCAGAAGAGAGAUGGAAAUUUGUACAUGUGUGGUGUUUUGCAAUCCUUCCAAAAUGAAAUGUACUGCAUAAAUGCAGGAAAAGCUGGUCUUGACUGGAGAAGGGACAAAUUUAUACUGAAUGUAGAUGGGUUGGUGGACUUAUGUUGUGUGCUCUUGCAUAGAUGUUUUUGUUUAAAUUUCUUCAGGUGGAGUGGAGAAAACGAACUUCUUAAAACACUAAGAAAUUUUGGCAUAACUUACAUGUUGUGUUGAUCUUAUUUUACUAUUUUUUUGGGAAUAAAUCUGUUAAGGGUAAUCCACUUUUUGGCUGUGGAAUUGGCAAGUUAGCUCUUUUGAGUUCCCUUUUUUUAUGUUUUUGGAGCGUGCGAGCACACACACACACAUGAAAUAGUUAAAGGGAUACUUAUUGAAACAUGUUCACCUUUCCAUGAUUGUAUAAACUUAUUUAAUCCUUUCUUAUUCACUAUGCUAAUACUGUGAGAGAUAAGAGAAUGGUUCUCUGAGUUUCAACUAUGAGUUGCUAUUCUAUUUUCUGAUCUCUUGUAUCAGAGUCUAGAAAUAUUUGUGUUAAUAAAUAUUGCACCUACUUUCUCAUCAUUGGUAAGGAAGUAUCUUAAACAUUGUUGAUGUAUUUCAGUGAGUUGCUAAAUAUUUCAAACAUCUCUAGAAGUCGAAUUACUGUUGCAUUACUUACUGAAAGUUGUGUGUACUUUUGUCUUUUUUCUUCUUUUGGAACAUUCUAAAUUUUGUAUGUUAUUAUUUAUCUCAUGUGUACGAAUGAAUCAACCAUACGCCUAUCUUUCAUUUUGGAUAUGAAGUUCGUUUAUGGCUU